AUUGAACGCUGGCGGCAGGCCUAACACAUGCAAGUCGAGCGGAUGAAGGGAGCUUGCUCCUGGAUUCAGCGGCGGACGGGUGAGUAAUGCCUAGGAAUCUGCCUGGUAGUGGGGGAUAACGUCCGGAAACGGGCGCUAAUACCGCAUACGUCCUGAGGGAGAAAGUGGUGGAUCUUCGGACCUCACGCUAUCAGAUGAGCCUAGGUCGGAUUAGCUAGUUGGCGGGGUAAAGGCCUACCAAGGCGACGAUCCGUAACUGGUCUGAGAGGAUGAUCAGUCACACUGGAACGGAGACACGGUCCAGACUCGUACGGGAGGCAGCAGUGGGGAAUAUUGGACAAUGGGCGAAAGCCUGAUCCAGCCAUGCCGCGUGUGUGAAGAAGGUCUUCGGAUUGUAAAGCACUUUAAGUUGGGAGGAAGGGCAGUAAGUUAAUACCUUGCUGUUUUGACGUUACCAACAGAAUAAGCACCGGCUAACUUCGUG
rnacentral:rRNA from 1 species